rnacentral:rRNA from 1 species
CGUGUAGGCGGGACGGCACGUCGGUCGCUGAAAUCCCCCGGCUCAACCGGGGAACGGGCGCCGAUACGACCGUCCUGGAGGGACGUAGGGGGACCUGGAACCUCCGGUGGAGCGGUGAAAUGCGUUGAGAUCGGAAGGAACGCCCGUGGCGAAAGCGAGGUCCUGGACGUUUUCUGACGCUGAGACGCGAAAGCCAGGGGAGCGAACG